GGACGUGAGGGCAAUCUGGCUGUGACAUCUGCCACCCCACUGAUCGCGAGGGUUGUUUGGGCUGAUCUGGCUGGCUGGGCAGGUGUCUCCUUCCUCCCUCUAUGCUCCAUGUGCGUCCCUUCGCACUCAGUCGAAGAGGAAGCCUACCCCCAUAGAGGAGGACUGUUCCUCUGUCACGGGUACAUAAGCAACUGCACUCCCCUGCUAGAACCUCCAAACAAGCUCUCAGAAAGUAAAUUCACUGCUGAAAGCAUAUAUCUAAGUGAGCUCAUCAGGAAAUAAAAAUUUUUCAGGAGCAUUUCUUU
rnacentral:snRNA from 1 species